AAAAGGUGCAAUGGAUGCUUGACACUCUGCCCUUGGAACAUCAUCCUUUUUAUGGACAAGAUGUAAAUUCAUCUUCCCUUGGAUGGGCUAUGUCAGCUUCCUCUUCCCGUGCAUUCCGUUUGCACGGUGAAAUCCCAAUGCUGUUGCCUCUUAUUGAUAUGUGCAACCAUAGUUUUGACCCAAAUGCUAGGAUUGUCCAGGAAGGAAAUGUAAACAGCUCAGACAUGUCAGUUAAGGCAAGUAACCUGUGAUAUUCUUCCAUUUCUGAAUUUUUGAUCUUAUACACCUGAAAAUCUUGUUCCAGAAUCAAGCUAUUCUUUUCUUCCUUCACAUAUCUGCUUUGCAAACGGUGAUGAUAUUACUGGAUAUCGUAUAUGAUAAAGUCUGUCUUUCAUAAAAUUCCUGCUUUGAUCUCUACUUGUCCUGAUACACUCAUUACUGACAUAACUGUGUGCCAGUUGUAGCAUUUGUGCGUCAGAUGCAUUCUUCACUACCUGUAUUCAGUUACAAUUUUCUAUGUUGGCAUUGACCUGUAAGACCUGAUACUUGAAUCGACUGUGCCAUUUCUACACUCUGUUCGUCUAGUAAGCAAUAAUUAAUGAAAACUAUUUCCACUCCUGGGCCUAUAUGUGCUUAAUGUUCUUGAUUACUGGUUUGCACAGAUUUGACAUGUUGAAGUUCAUUUAAUCAACUGAUUUCCUCGUUACAUGUCAUUUAGAGUCUAUAAUUUCCUUGCUUACAGAAGAUGCAAAUAAAUCCAUCACUAUCUUUAUGUUAUGCUGUAUGCACAGGUUGUUGCUGAGACGAAGAUUGAGAAAAAUGCUGCAAUAACACUGAAUUAUGGUUGCCAUCCCAAUGAUUUCUUUCUUCUUGAUUAUGGAUUUGUGAUAGCACCGAACCCUUAC
rnacentral:lncRNA from 1 species